UCAGAACUAGAAAAUGAUUGAAAGCCCAUUAGGUUCUGCUUUUCCAAAGUGUUUUCACCAUGGUUUACAGAAUCCUUUGCCUUUGUAGUAUUAUCUCCAACAGCACUAUCAUCAGGAGCAGAAAUUGCAGCACUUAAUAGGCUGUCCUUCUGAGGAACUGCUCUACUAGAAACAUUCUGUGGUUUUCCAGACUUAAGUACCUUGGGCUUGGAAACAGCUGCUCGUCUUUCAUUUGAUUCAGUCUUUGUACUUUUCAAUCCCCGGGAUCCUGCUCCUUGAG
rnacentral:misc_RNA from 1 species